AUAGCCUUCAGUUUGCUUCUCUUGUUAAUCUGUCUUCAGCUGCAAGGGUCCCAGCUGGGAAUUUGGAAGGAUAGCCGAAAAUAAUUUUUUCCUCCCCUACAUUGCCAGUUGUGGGAUAGAACUGGAUUUUGAUCCCAAGACUGAAUGAUGUAGGGACUUUCUCCCCACAUAGCUCACCUAUGCUCACCCUUUCCUUUGCUGGAUUCUGCCCUUUUCAGUGGACAUAUGAUAAACACUGUUUUGUUUUGUUUUUUUUUUUUUUUUAUGUUUUUUUUUUUUUUUAAAUUUUUGAGAGAGAGAGGCAGAGUGGGAGCAGGGGAGGGGCAGAGAGAGAGGGAGACACAGAAUCUGAAACAGGCUUCAGGCUCUGAGCUGUCAGCACAGAGCCUGAUGUGGGGCUCGAACCUUCGAACCGUGAGAUCACGACCUGAGCCAAAGUUGGACGCUUAACCAACUGAGCCACCCAGGCUCCCCAAUAAAACACUGCUUUGAUUCUUAUCCAUUAUUUUUUGUCCUCCUAGUUUACUCAGGAACCCCCCAAAGGGAAAAUGGAGUGAUUGGCCAGGCAGGAUUAUGGUAUUCUAAGGCCUGUGACCCUAAUACCAUCAAUUCUGGUUUUUAAAUUCCAUCCUCUUUCCAUUGUAUCAUCAAGGGGUAAUUUAGAGCAAGAACUGGGCAAACAGGAGGAGUUGAGAAAUGUAGCAAUGGCCAAAUGCCAUUCAGGGGAUAUUUUUAGUUACCUAAAUAAACUGUAUUUCCACAAUGUCUGCAGAACUUAUGGUUUGUGUGCAGUAAAUAAAAUGAUGGAAAUGCCAUGAAGGAGCCCAGCCAGAUGACUUCAUUUGUGUGCAUUCUGUUCCGCAGGAGUCCCUUAAACAGCAGACGGGCUCCAUGUGACUCAGUGAAGGCACACAAGCUGCUGUCCAACACCAUUGCUUCUCUCUUGUGUUUAUUGUAUGCCAGUCUCACCACACUGUGCUCGGAGCAGUUUCCCAGGGAGUGUUCUGUGGGGUGCUCAUCAGAAGAAGAAACAGAGUUUUGUGAUCAAGAUGGAAAAGGAAGAAUUUUCUGGGAGGUGCAAAGGCUGCCCUGAAGACUACCUAUACCUUGGUUGGAUCAUCAGAGAAUAGGAGAAGGUAGAGACAUCCGCGUAGCAGUUUGAAGAGGGGAAUAUCUUGAUCCUGGGUGCUGUGGAUCCUUGGGAUCAGGAAGAGCAACCAAGAUUUCAAGUCUCACAACUAGAAGAGAGUGGAGCUCCAAGGACUGUCACACUUUCGAUGUGGUGUAGGACACAGAGGAUGCCCUGUGGAUGGUCAUGAGGAUCAUGGUUAGCAGCCUGCCCAGAUCGUUUGUGCUCAACCAGUAAUGGCAGACCAGUUUUCGCCAGAGGCCUCAAGGCACAGGAAGGUGAGAUAGCUCAGUGCUGCUUCAGCGGUGGGAGUCUCAGAAGGGGCACCAAGAGUCCGACGCUUUACUUUCUGCCAAUGUCAAUUCAGGUCAGUGGAUGCUCAAGUCAGAACGAGAGUUCUUUUGUUUUAGACUAAACCAUGCCAUUGUAGCUGUUUUC
rnacentral:lncRNA from 1 species